rnacentral:tRNA from 1 species
UGCGAGGGGACCUGUGUUGGUACGGGUGGGUGACUGUUAAUCACUUUGUCGCGGGUUCGAGUCCCGCCUUCGCAG